rnacentral:rRNA from 1 species
AACGAACGCUGGCGGCAUGCCUAACACAUGCAAGUCGAACGAUACCUUCGGGUCUAGUGGCUCACGGGUGCGUAACGCGUGGGAACCUGCCCUUAGGUUCGGAAUAACUCCCCGAAAGGGGUGCUAAUACCGGAUAAUGUCUUCGGACCAAAGAUUUAUCGCCUUUGGAUGGGCCCGCGUUGGAUUAGCUAGUUGGUAGGGUAAAAGCCUACCAAGGCGACGAUCCAUAGCUGGUCUGAGAGGAUGAUCAGCCACACUGGGACUGAGACACGGCCCAGACUCCUACGGGAGGCAGCAGUGGGGAAUAUUGGACAACGGGCGAAAGCCUGAUCCAGCAAUGCCGCGUGAGUGAUGAAGGCCUUAGGGUUGUAAAGCUCUUUUACCCGGGAUGAUAAUGACAGUACCGGGAGAAUAAGCUCCGGCUAACUCCGUG